AGCAGGAAGUAGAGGAGGAAGUAGAACAGGAAGUAGAACAGGAAGUAGAGCAGUAAGUAGAGGAGGAAGUAGAGCAGGUAGUAGAGCAGUAAGUAGAGGAGGAAGUAGAACAGGAAGUAGAGCAGGUAGUAGAGCAGGAAGUAGAGGAGGAAGUAGAACAGGAAGUAGAACAGGAAGUAGAGCAGGAAGUAGAGCAGUAAGUAGAGGAGGAAGUAGAGCAGGUAGUAGAACAGGAAGUAGAGCAGGAAGUAGAGCAGGUAGUAGAACAGGAAGUAGAGCAGGAAGUAGAGGAGGAAGUAGAGCA